rnacentral:lncRNA from 1 species
UUUUUUUUUUUUUUUUAUAGGAAAGUUGAUGUUAUGCCCAAAGAACUAGAUAAGAAAUCACCACCAUGAUAUGAUUCACACACACACACACAUAUAUAUAUGUAUGAUUUUGAACAACAAAAGUUACAAUCAAAGCAGAAAACGGAGGGACUUGUCAUUUCUUUCUAGCACUGAGAUCAAUCCAAAGAUAACAUAAAAAAGCUUAAAACGCCAUUAAUGAACUUUAUUACAUCAAGCUAGCCCAUGGCACCUAUUACAUGCAGAGCAAUUCUUGAUCAUGAGCUCAAGCCUUAGUCCUUUGCAGGUGGAGCAAAAGUAGGGGGAUUCAAGAAAGGAUUGGGAAAAGGGAAUAUUGGUGGAAAAGGAAAACUGGGAAAUCCAGGGAUUUUAGGGAAACCAGGAAGUGGAGAUAAACCACCUGGGGAGGGAGGUGGAAGGGGGAAAUUUGGGAAUGGGGAUGGAAAUGGAAAUGGAGGAAAAGGGAUGGGAAAAAGCCAGGUUGGGGUGUUAGGGGCACCAACAUUUCCACUGUCAUCUUUUACCUCCUCCAAAUUUCGAAGCUGCCGAGCACUGCAAAAAUUGCAAGAAAAAUUCAUGACCAAAACCAAGAUUACCAGAGAGAUGAAUUUGAGAGCCAUUUUUUGAGAGGAAAAUGCACCGAGGGGGAGAAGAAAAAGAGUGAGGCAGUGUAACUGGAUUCACCAGCAAAGUGCUUAUAUAGAGGCAAAUGCAGCUCUUACAUUUUCUCUGCCCAGGAAGUUUGGUAAAGAAAUUUGACCCUUUGGUUCCCUUGGUCACAAAAAUUAAUGUGCUUAACUGUAAGAAUUAUUGAGGUUAAAAGGAAGAUAAACUGUGUAAAUU